AAGUCGUAACAAGGUUUCCGUAGGUGAACCUGCGGAAGGAUCAUUAACACUUUUUAUUAUUUUGUUUUUUUUCUAAAACAAAAUUUAAAACCCCACAAUUUUGGAUGAAUUUAAUUAAUUUAUUUUUUAUUUUAUUUUUUUUAUUAUAACCCUAUUAUUUGACUACAUUUUUAUUUAAUUAUUAAAAAAUUAAAAAAACAACUCUUAACAACGGAUAUCUUGGCUCUCG
rnacentral:misc_RNA from 1 species